ACCCUGGAAAUCGCAACGUCAAAAAACAAAUCGGCUGGACAGCAAGAACUGCAGUGACCUGAUAGUGCCGGGUUUGCCUAGGAAGAGCACUGACGAUGACUUGAAGGCUUACUUCUCAGUUUGUGAAGUCAACAUGGCACAGAAUUCGAUUAUGGCAAGUUCUGAUAGAGCCACGGUCUGUUUAUAAGGUGGCUGCAUGGGGAACAUCAGAAGCAUAUGGUGUUUCACUGAAAUGGAAGCAUUUCAAUCCAUUAAAGUUGAGGCAGAUAGCAUUGGCGAGCGCCUAACCUGAUGAUGGUCCACUUUUGCAAGUUUUAAAUGGAGAAAGU